rnacentral:pre_miRNA from 1 species
ACGACCCUACGUAGACCCCGUCUCAGUGUCUCUAACCGUUGUCAAAAUCAGCGAGAUUGCAGGAUUUUGGUCGGUGGUUAGAGUCACUGAGAAGGUGACGAUCAUUGCAA